rnacentral:rRNA from 1 species
UACGAAUGGGGCAAGCGUUGUUCGGAAUCACUGGGCUUAAAGCGUGCGUAGGCGGAUUUACAAGUCAGGAGUGAAAUCCCAGGGCUCAACCCUGGAACUGCUCUUGAAACUGUAAAUCUAGAGACCUGGAGAGGCUAAUGGAAUUCCGAGUGUAGAGGUGAAAUUCGCAGAUAUUCGGAGGAACACCAGUGGCGAAGGCGAUUAGCUGGACAGGUACUGACGCUGAGGUACGAAAGCGUGGGGAGCAAAC